rnacentral:rRNA from 1 species
UACGUAGGGUCCAAGCGUUGUCCGGAUUUAUUGGGCGUAAAGAGCUCGUAGGCGGUCUGUCGCGUCGGCUGUGAAAACUCAGGGCUUAACCCUGAGCUUGCAGUGGGUACGGGCAGACUAGAGUGCGGUAGGGGAGACUGGAAUUCCUGGUGUAGCGGUGAAAUGCGCAGAUAUCAGGAGGAACACCGGUGGCGAAGGCGGGGUCUCUGGGCCGUAACUGACGCUGGAGGAAGCGAAAAGCGUGGGGAGCAAACAGG